rnacentral:lncRNA from 1 species
UGCUGAGACCUUUGAAAGGGGGCACCUGGAAGGCAAGGACAGAGACAUCUCCAUGACGACCAGCACGAGCGGCCGCCACACUGACCCUUGUGCCCACCCGGGGCAGCCUGGGGCUGGUGAAGCUCAAGACCUACGUUAGGACACAGCAGCGUCAUCACUGUUAGAGGCAUGUGGUCAUCCUUAACCCAGCCAGGAAAGAAAUGCCUGAAGAAGAGUUAAAAGUGCACUGCGGUUGAGGGAUUUUGCCUCUGGUGUGGAGGGCAAAAGGGCAGACGGAAGCUGCUUGGCUCAAUGUGUCUUAUGCUAGUCUAUUCAG